UAGUGUUUAGUUUUUUUUAUUUAGAGUUUAGGAUUUAUCCAAGGGUUUAGGGUUUACCCAAAGGUUUAGGGUUUACCCAAAGGUUUAGGGUUUACCCAAUGGUUUAGGGUUUAGGAUUUAUGGUUUAGGGUUUAGGAUUUAUGGUUUAGGGUUUAGGGAUUAGGAUUUAGGGUUUAGUGUUUUGCAGACGACGUUAAAUUUUUUUUUUGUAAU
rnacentral:lncRNA from 1 species